rnacentral:rRNA from 1 species
UACGUAGGGUGCAAGCGUUAUCCGGAAUUAUUGGGCGUAAAGAGCUCGUAGGCGGUUUGUCGCGUCUGCUGUGAAAACUGGAGGCUCAACCUCCAGCCUGCAGUGGGUACGGGGCAGACUAGAGUGAUGUAGGGGGAGACUGGAAUUCCUGGUGUAGCCGGUGAAAUGCGCAGAUAUCAGGAGGAACACCGAUGGCGAAGGCAGGGUCUCUGGGCAUUAACUGACGCUGAGGAGCGAAAGCAUGGGGAGCGAACAGG